UGCUCAGGGAAAGCUUUCUCUGGUGGUU
rnacentral:piRNA from 1 species